rnacentral:tRNA from 1 species
GGUGCUGUGGCUGAGCAGUAAAGCGCUUGGCUUCUGAUCCAGGGGUCCCAGGUUUGAGUCCUGGUGAAGCCU